ACGGGAGGCAGCAGUGGGGAAUAUUGCACAAUGGGGGAAACCCUGAUGCAGCGACGCCGCGUGAGUGAAGAAGUUAUUCGUAAUGUAAAGCUCUAUCAGCAGGGAAGAAAAUGACGGUACCUGACUAAGAAGCCCCGGCUAAAUACGUGCCAGCAGCCGCGGUAAUACGUAUGGUGCAAGCGUUAUCCGGAUUUACUGGGUGUAAAGGGGGCGCGGGCGGCACGGCAAGUCUGAUGUGAAAGCCCGGGGCUCAACCCCGGUACUGCAUUGGAAACUGUCGGACUAGAGUGUCGGAGGGGUAAGUGGAAUUCCUAGUGUAGCGGUGAAAUGCGUAGAUAUUAGGAGGAACACCAGUGGCGAAGGCGGCUUACUGGACGAUAACUGACGCUGAGGCUCGAAAGCGUGGGGAGCAAACAGGAUUAGAUACCCUGGUA
rnacentral:rRNA from 1 species